UACGUAGGGUGCAAGCGUUGUCCGGAAUUAUUGGGCGUAAAGAGCUUGUAGGCGGUUUGUCGCGUCUGCUGUGAAAUUUCGGGGCUCAACCCCGAACUUGCAGUGGGUACGGGCAGACUAGAGUGUGGUAGGGGAGACUGGAAUUCCUGGUGUAGCGGUGAAAUGCGCAGAUAUCAGGAGGAACACCGAUGGCGAAGGCGGGUCUCUGGGACGGUACUGACGCUGAGACGCGAAAGCGUGGGGAGCGAACAGG
rnacentral:rRNA from 1 species